rnacentral:lncRNA from 1 species
UGAAUAUGAUUUUUCAACAUGCUUAAAGAAGAGGAAAAGCAUAACAGCCUUGGUGUACCUGGUAAAGCUGCUGUAAUGUGGCUAGAAGGUUACGAGAUUGUACCGUGGAAAUAACUUCUUGUAGAAAUACAGGGUAACAUUGCAUAAAAUAGACCGUUGUGGUCCGAUCCUUCGCAGAAUCUCACGCAUAGCUAAAGCUUAGUGCAUCAGGCUGCCCUUCUUUUUUUAAGAAGAGAAAAAGGAAAAGGAAAAGUAAAGCCAUUUGCGUACUACUAAUUAGGGCAUCUCCAAC